rnacentral:rRNA from 1 species
CAGUCGCCACGGUAAUACGUAGGUGGCAAGCAUUGUCCGGAAUUAUUGGGCGUAAAGGGCUCGCAGGCGGUUUCUUAAGUUUGAUGUGAAAGCCCCCGGCUCAACCGGGGAGGGUCAUUGGAAACUGGGAAACUUGAGUGCAGAAGAGGAGAGUGGAAUUCCACGUGUAGCGGUGAAAUGCGUAGAGAUGUGGAGGAACACCAGUGGCGAAGGCGACUCUCUGGUCUGUAACUAACGCUGAGGAGCGAAAGCGUGGGGAGCGAGCAGGAUUAGAUACCCGUGUAGUCCCUGUCUCUUACAC